UACGUGGGGCCCAAGCGUUAUCCGGAUUUACUGGGCGUAAAGCGUGCGUAGGCGUCCCGACCAGUCUCCAGUGAAAUCCUCUCGCUCAACGAGAGAACUGUUGGAGAUACUAUCGGGAUAGAGUAUGACAGGGGCAGACGGAAUUGAUGGUGUAGCGGUAAAAUGCGUAGAUAUCAUCAAGAACACCAAUGGCGAAGGCAGUCUGCUGGGUCAUCACUGACGCUGAGGUACGAAAGCGUGGGUAGCGAACGGG
rnacentral:rRNA from 1 species